GACGAACGCUGGCGGCGUGCUUAACACAUGCAAGUCGAACGGAAAGGCCCUGCUUUUGUGGGGUGCUCGAGUGGCGAACGGGUGUGUAACACGUGAGUAACCUGCCCUUUACUUUGGGAUAACUUCAGGAAACUGGGGCUAAUACCGGAUAGGACCUCCUGCUGCAUGGUGGUGGUUGGAAAGUUUCGGCGGUUGGUGAUGGACUCGCGGCUUAUCAGCUUGUUGGUGGGGUAGUGGCUUACCAAGGCUUUGACGGGUAGCCGGCCUGAGAGGGUGACCGGCCACAUUGGGACUGAGAUACGGCCCAGACUCCUACGGGAGGCAGCAGUGGGGAAUAUUGCACAAUGGGCGGAAGCCUGAUGCAGCAACGCCGCGUGCGGGAUGACGGCCUUCGGGUUGUAAACCGCUUUCGCCUGUGACGAAGCGUGAGUGACGGUAAUGGGUAAAGAAGCACCGGCUAACUACGUG
rnacentral:rRNA from 1 species